CCUUUCAGAGUUCACCUCCUCAGAGCAGCUUUCCCUGCUCUGCCGCCGCAGUCCUCUGAGGUGAUCACCGCAUCCGUUGGGCUGUCUUUGAGUACCUCCGUGUUGUAUGCAUCCCCUCCCACUGUAAUUAUAUGUCGAUUUUUCUGUCUUCCCCACAGCAAAGAAACCCAUCCAUCUGUUGAGUAUUUGCUGGCAUAUGGGCUAAUUCUUUCUAUUAUCAAGAUUAGAAAAAGCACCUUCAUGGACCAGUCCCUUCUUUUCCUCUCUAACCUUCUGCUUCUAAGCCUGAACUCCUUAAGUUCAGGCCCAAAGGGCCCAGAGUUCCAAGGUCACAGCACAGUCUGUGAUGAUACAGAAGAGAAUCAUGCUAACUAGUUUGCCCAUGAGCAGACUCCAGCUUUACCACCUGAAUUAGUCUGGCAGUGGCUAAUUUUGAAAAAGGGAGAAAUACCACUCCAUACGUUCCAUAGGUAAGGAAAAAAUAAGAACUUUUAUUUCCUUUGUUAACAUAGAUACACAUUCAUAUGUUUCAAGUAUAAAUUAUUGUUUAAACAUUUUGCUUUGCAGUAAAUUCUGCCUUUGACCUAGACUUCUUGGGGUAUUAAUAUAACGUUGAGCUUCUGCUAGACAAGUAAAAUCUUCCUUGAUCAAAAUUAAGAACAGUGCCAUCUUCUAUAAGGUUUUAGAAAAAACAAAUCAACUACAGAAAAUGAUUAAAAGGCAGAACCACUUUUAAAGAUAAAAGUUUAUAAUUAGCAUGGACGUUCUGUAAUUUAAAAUGGAAAGUUUGUGAAGCUAUAAGAAAGCAGGGCAAAUUUCGGCUACAAAAUAACAGGUUUCAUAUGUUAAAAAUAUCAAUCAUUUAACCCAAAGUGAACCAAUUAUAACACGUUUUCCCUAAGGUAUGGGUCUGACACUCAGAAGUAAGCCCAGUGACUUAUAGGAAAUAAAGUCAAAUCCUUAAUACUAAUGACCA
rnacentral:lncRNA from 1 species